AGGACCUGCUCGGGGCGUACCUCAUUUGAAGUACUGAGAAGCACCCGUGGAACCUGAUCCGGAUCAUGCCGGCGGAGGGAAGGCAGCAGACUUUUUGU
rnacentral:ncRNA from 1 species